rnacentral:rRNA from 1 species
UGCCCCUCUGUGGGGGAUAGCCGCUUGAAAAAGCGAUUAAUACCCCAUAGGAAGCUUUAUCCAUGAUUUAGCUUUUAAAGCCUUCGGGCGCUGAGGGAUUGGGAUAUGCUCUAUUAGCUAGUUGGCGGGAUAAAAGCCCACCAAGGCAAUGAUAGAUAGCUGGUCUUAGAGGAUGAACAGCCACAAUGGGAUUGAGAUACGGCCCAUAUUCCUACGGGAAGCAGCAGUAGGGAAUCUUCCACAAUGGACGAAAGUCUGAUGGAGCAAUACCAUGUGAACGAUGAAGGCCUUUUUGGUUGUAAAGUUCUUUUACGAGGGAUAAUUAUGAUAGUACUUCGUGAAUAAGUGACAGCAAACUAUGUGCCAGCAGCUGCGGUAAUACAUAGGUCGCGAGCAUUAUUCGGAUUUAUUGGGCGUAAAGCAAGCGCAGGCGGAUGUGUAAGUUCUGUGUUAAAUGCAGCUACUCAAUAGUUGUAUGCACCGAAUACUACAUGUCUAGAUUGUGGUAGGGAGUUUCGGAAUUAAGCAUGGAGCGGUGGAAUGUGUAGAUAUGCUUAAGAACACCAGAGGCGAAGGCGGAAACUUAGGCCAUAAAUGACGCUUAGGCUUGAAAGUGUGGGGAGCAAAUGGGAUUAGAUACCCCAGUAGUCCACACCGUAAACGAUGGGUAUUAGAUAUUAGGGCUUUAGCUUUAGUGUUGUAGCUUACGCGUUAAAUACCCCGCCUGGGUAGUACAUAUGCAAAUAUGAAACUCAAAGGAAUUGACGGGGACCUGAACAAGUGGUGGAGCAUGUUGCUUAAUUCGAUAAUACACGAAAAACCUUACCAAGGUUUGACAUCCCUCGCAAAGCUAUAGAAAUAUAGUAGAGGUUAUCGAGGUGACAGGUGGUGCAUGGCUGUCGUCAGCUCGUGUCUUGAGAUGUUUGGUUAAGUCCCGCAACGAGCGCAACCCCACUCUUUAGUUACUUGUCUAAAGAGACUGCACAGUAAUGUAGAGGAAGGAUGGGAUCACGUCAAGUCAUCAUGCCCCUUAUGCCUUGGGCUGCAAACGUGCUACAAUGGCGAACACAAUGUGUUGCAAACCAGCGAUGGUAAGCUAAUCACCAAAUUUCGUCUCAGUUCGGAUAGGAGGCUGCAAUUCGCCUCCUUGAAGUUGGAAUCACUAGUAAUCCCGUGUCAGCUAUAUCGGGG